rnacentral:rRNA from 1 species
GACGAACGCUGGCGGCGUGCUUAACACAUGCAAGUCGAACGGUGAAGCGCCUUCCUUUUUGGUGGGCGUGGAUGAGUGGCGAACGGGUGAGUAACACGUGAGUAACCUGCCCCCUUCUUCUGGAUAACCGCAUGAAAGUGUGGCUAAUACGGGAUAUUCUGGGUCUGUCGCAUGAUGGGUCUGGGAAAGAUAUUGUUUCGGUGGGGGAUGGGCUCGCGGCCUAUCAGCUUGUUGGUGGGGUGAUGGCCUACCAAGGCGGUGGCGGGUGGCCGGCCUGAGAGGGUGGACGGUCACACUGGGACUGAGACACGGCCCAGACUCCUACGGGAGGCAGCAGUGGAGAAUAUUGCACAAUGGGCGCAAGCCUGAUGCAGCGUCGCCGCGUGAGGGAUGGAGGCCUUCGGGUUGUGAACCUCUUUCGCCAGUGAAGCAGGCCUGCCUCGUUUGUGGGUGGGUUGACGGUAGCUGGAUAAGAAGCGCCGGCUAACUACGUG